GAAUUGACGGGGGCCCGCACAAGCGGUGGAGCAUGUGGUUUAAUUUGACAACGCGAAGAACCUUACCAGGGUUUGACAUGACGUAAAUUUCUUUGAGAAAAGAAAGUGCCGUAAGGAAUACGUACACAGGUGGUGCACGGCUGUCGUCAGCUCGUGUCGUGAGAUGUUGGGUUAAGUCCCGCAACGAGCGCAACCCUUGUUUUUAGUUGCCGUUAGGAAAUCUAAAAAGACUGCCGAUUCAACAUCGGAGGAAGGAAAGGACGACGUCAAGUCAUCAUGCCCCUUAUACCCUGGGCUACACACGUGCUACAAAGAGUAAGACAAUGAGCAGCUAACCUGUGAAGGGGUGCGAAUCUCCAAACUUACUCUCAGUUCGGAUUGUAGGCUGCAACUCGCCUACAUGAAGGUGGAAUCGCUAGUAAUCGCAGGUCAGAAUACUGCGGUGAAUACGUUCCCGGGCCUUGUACACACCGCCCGUCACAUCAUGGGAGUUGGCUUUACCCGAAGGUGGUGCGCUAACCUAGCAAUAGGAGGCAGCCAACCACGGUAAGGUCAGCGACUGGGAUGAAGUCGGAACAAGGUAGCC
rnacentral:rRNA from 12 species